rnacentral:rRNA from 1 species
AUGAAGCGGAGGCAUAUGGAUGCCAUGGCAAUUGUCCAUACCUACGGGAAGGCUGACAUCUUGACCAUGACCUGCAACCCUAACUGGGAAGAGAUAACGAAUGAGUUAUUUCCUGGUCAGACAGCGCAAGAUCGACCUAAUCUUGUGGCUCGUGUGUUCCAUGGCAAGCUAGAGGCUAUGAAAGAGUUGUUCUUCAAGAAGAAUAUCCUGGGUGUUGUUGUCGCACAUGUAUAUGUAGUCGAGUUCCAGAAGAGGGGCCUCCCCCACGCACACUUUUUGUUGAUCAUGGAUUCUACCUAUAAGCUUGUCGUUCCGGAGCAGUACGACCGACUCAUUUCUGCCGAGCUCCCAGACAAGCAGAAGUAUCCUGAACUCCAUGCCUUGGUGGUGAAACAUAUGAUGCACGGACCAUGCGGUGCUCUCAACCCCAAAAAUGUGUGCAUGCAACAGAACGAGUGCAAGUGCAGAUACCCGCGGCCGUUCAAUGAAAACACGGCACAGGGCAAGGACUCAUACCCAGUUUAUCGUCGUCGAGAUAAUGGUCGGCAGGCUAAGGUCCGGGGUAAAAUGUUGGACAACAGAUGGGUUGUGUCGUAUAACCAUUACCUUCUGCAGAUGUUCAAUUGCCACAUCAACGUUGAGGUUUGCUCAAGCAUAAAGGCCGUCAAAUACCUUUACAAGUACAUAUACAAGGGCCAUGAUAGGGCUUCUUUCAGCAUCGACCAGCCCGACGCCGAGGGUAACAUUGAUGAGAUCAAAAGAUACGUAGACGCGAGGUGGGUUACUCCUCCAGAGGCGAUGUGGAGGAUAUUUGGCUUCCCCUUGUGUGCCAAUGACCCGCCUGUACUACAGUUGCCCCUUCAUCUCCCGAAUAUGCAUAGGGUGGCAUUCCAUGAGCAAGCUCACUUAACCGACGUAGUCGCCUCUGAGAAUGCUUCCAAAUCCAUGUUGACAGAGUAUUUCAAAGCUAACCAAAACCACCCGUGGGCUAGGAAUAUAUUGUACAAGGAUUUUCCUGGAAGGUUCACAUGGCAGAAGGGUAAGAAGUAUUGGAAAGAGCGGGUGGAGCGUUAUCAGAUAGGUCGAAUUGUGUCUGCCAAUCCUGUCGAGGGGGAGCGAUACUAUCUGCGUGUGCUGCUAAACCAUGUUGCUGGCAAGACAUCCUAUGAGGACCUGCUCACCGUGGAUGGUAGGCUAUGCGGGAGCUUUAGAGAGGUUGCCGAAAGGUUGGGACUCAUCGAGGCAGAUAACAUGCUCGACGACUGUCUUACUGAGGCAGAGCAGUGGGCGAUGCCAUGUUCGCUCAGGAGGCUCUUCGCAACAAUUUUUGUGCACUGUGAGCCAGGCGACGUGCGUGGUUUAUGGGAUAGGCACUUCAAGCCUAUGUCUGAUGACUAUCGGCGAUCACACACGUGCCCGAUUGAGGUGGAACAAAUGGUGUUGCUUGACAUUAGGGGUAUGUUGCAGUCCAUGGGCAAAGACAUAGCUGAUUUCGCUCUUCUAUGCAUUGACGAUGCGUUCGACCCAACCGAGGGCGAGGCCAGAGAAGUGAUCGAGGAAUCUAACGUCGAUUUUGACAUCAACGACACUAAAUUGGCUUCGACGCUAAACCCUGAGCAGAGGGUUGCAUACGACGAGAUACUAGCUUCUGUUGAACGCGGUGAUGGGGGUGUGUUCUUUGUUGAUGGCCCGGGAGGUACAGGGAAAACCUUCCUAUACACGGCGCUGCUCGCCAAGGUUCGAAGCGAGGGAAACAUUGCUAUCGCUACUGCGACGUCAUGCGUCGCCGCUUCUAUCAUGCUUGGAGGCAGGACUGCCCACUCGAGGUUCAAGAUCCCAUUGAGCUGCGACGAUGGCGCCUCAUGCACCUUCAUGAAGCAGAGUGGUACCGCCAAGCUACUGAGGAUGGCCUCAUUGAUACUAUGGGACGAGGCCACCAUGACUAAGCGACAGGCGGUCGAGGCACUGGACAACAGCAUGCGCGACAUCAUGGGAAGACGGGACCGACCCUUUGGGGGAAAAACUGUUAUGUUUGGCGGGGACUUCAGGCAGGUGCUUCCGGUCGUCAGGAGGGGGUCCCGGGGUCAGAUAAUCGAUGCAACCCUCCGAAGUUCACACCUCUAG